GGCAGGACACACAGCACUUAACUUUAAGCCCUGUUUCCGCUGGGUCAUCAUCCUCCAUGGUUGGAAGCUGAAGGCUUGCAAAAGGUGAAGCGUAAGGACCCCCCUGUUGGUGGUCCCAGUGCCUGCCUUGGCAGCGUGCCAGGAGCCCAAGGGAUGCACUUAAUUUUCUUUAUUCAUUAGCAUAUUUUUAAUCAAACGCAUCAAACCACAAUGUUUCCACAUGUCUCUCCCAUGGCAGAUGAACAAAAAUAGGUCAGUGCAUCUGAAUCCUCUCCAACUUAGCUUCAACUCUACAGCAUUUGUUUAAUGUUAAUUUUCAGAGAACAAUCAAGCAGGUGCAAUGUCCAGGGCUUAGUUCCCCGGCCCUAAUGAAGCUUCAGGACUGCUUACACCUAGCUUAAUAACAGGCUUUUUACAUUCUUGUCACCUGUAAGCUACCUUCAUUUACCUCAUGCUGCCAACCCAUCUCUAGCCGGGCAAGGAAAAUGUUGCAGUGUUGAGAUCAUGUUCACACUUGCAGCUGAGACGUGUCUUGCCUUGUUUCUUAUCUCUGAAUUGUUCAUAACAAGAGCUAAGUAAAAAAUUACUCUUCAUGUUUUUUACAUGAGCUUUCAAAGUUGGUUACACUGUUCUGGGUGGGGUGAAUAUUGCAUCAACACCAAGUUAAAACUUAUCUUUUGUUCUUCUUUUUUGGAGAGAAAAGGGGAAAUAGGCUCCAGAGGGAAUAGUUUUCACCACGAGACAAAAAUCCAGUGAAGGGCAAGGUAUUAAAUAGGCUUGGAGCAUUUGAAAAGUGGGUCUGUUAUGAAGGGAUGCAUGCUUUACUUUCUGUUCUGAUUUCUUCUAGGAAAUCUGACUUGUGCUCUGUGUUAAAUGUAUCUGUGAGGACCUAUCCUGAGCUUAGAAAUUUGAUGGAGUUGUCCUUGUGCACCACGUUGACUUGUUCUUCACGCUGCCUCUGUGGGCUGCAUGAGGUUGUACAAAGGGACAUGGUUUAGUGUACUAGUGGUAGGUGGAGGGCUUCCAACCUUGGAAGUUGGGAGAAGCCAAAGCAUGUAACUUGCAAUUGGUCGCCAGGCCUCUGUUCCAUGUUUUUUU
ensembl:lncRNA